rnacentral:rRNA from 1 species
UACGUAGGAGGCGAGCGUUGUCCGGAAUUACUGGGCGUAAAGGGCGCGUAGGCGGCCUUCUAAGUCGAACGUGAAAUCCCUGGGCUCAACCCAGGAACUGCGUCCGAUACUGGAAGGCUUGAAUCCGGGAGAGGGAUGCGGAAUUCCAGGUGUAGCGGUGAAAUGCGUAGAUAUCUGGAGGAACACCGGUGGCGAAGGCGGCAUCCUGGACCGGCAUUGACGCUGAGGCGCGAAAGCCAGGGGAGCAAACGGG